AUGUGGCAAGCCAAGAGCAAUUUAAAGGGGGUACAGCCCCUUUAAAAAAGAGAACAGCCUCCCAUAGAGGAUAACUAACCAUCCGCUAACAAUCCAAACUGUAGGCCCUUAAGCAGCCACCAACAAAGAGUGCGUCAAAGCUCCACCGACUAAAAAAAUCCAAAAACAACACGACUCCCUCCCUCCCAACAGGCUAACCUAUGACAAUAGGAGAAUUAAUGCUAAAAUAAGUAACCAGGGAUUAAUCCCUCUCAGGCGCAAGCUUACAUCACCACAUUAUUAACAGGCCCAAUAAUACCCCCAACCUCCUCACAAGACCACAUAUUAACCAACCCUGUUAACCCAACCCAGGAGCGCCCAUUAAGAAAGAUUAAAAUCUGUGAAAGGAACUAGGCAAACCCAAGGCCCGACUGUUUACCAAAAACAUAGCCCUCAGCAACCCAAGUAUUGAGGGUGAUGCCUGCCCAGUGAUCCUAUGUUUAACGGCCGCGGUAUCCUAACCGUGCAAAGGUAGCGCAAUCAAUUGUCCCAUAAAUCGAGACCUGUAUGAACGGCUAAACGAGGUCUUAACUGUCUCUCACAGAUAAUCAGUGAAAUUGAUCUUCCCGUGCAAAAGCAGGAAUGAACACAUAAGACGAGAAGACCCUGUGGAACUUAAAAAUCAACGGCCACCCCCUCCACAACUUCCCCUAACCAGGCACACAAUCACCAAACACCUGGCCCACAUUUUUAAGUUGGGGCGACCUUGGAGAAAAACAAAUCCUCCAAAAAUAAGACCACACCCUUAACCAAGAGCAACCCCUCAACGUGCAAACAGCAACCAGACCCAAUACACCAAUACACUUGACCAAUGGACCAAGCUACCCCAGGGAUAACAGCGCAAUCUCCUUCAAGAGCCCCUAUCGACAAGGAGGUUUACGACCUCGAUGUUGGAUCAGGACAUCCUAAUGGUGUAGCAGCUAUUAAGGGUUCGUUUGUUCAACGAUUAACAGUCCUACGUGAUCUGAGUUCAGACCGGAGCAAUCCAGGUCGGUUUCUAUCUAUGACUAACUUUUCCCAGUACGAAAGGACCGGAAAAGUGAGGCCAAUACCACAAGCACGCCUCCCCCCAAAACAAUGAACCCAACUAAACCUACUAAGGGGACCCCAACCAAUUAACCCCUAAACAAGGGCCGCUAGUGUGGCAGAGCUUGGCAAAUGCAA
rnacentral:rRNA from 1 species